rfam:Stegodyphus mimosarum contig19398, whole genome shotgun sequence.
GUCUUCAUGGUGUAGUGGUCAGCACGCUCGCCGCAUAUUCGAGAGGUCCGUGGUUCGAAUCCCAGCGAGGGCA